rnacentral:tRNA from 1 species
CAAAGUGUAGCUUAAAAAAAGCACCUGGUUUACACCCAGAAGAUUUCACAAAAAUGACCGCUUUGA